AUUGAACGCUGGCGGCAGGCCUAACACAUGCAAGUCGAGCGGAUGAAGGGAGCUUGCUCCUGGAUUCAGCGGCGGACGGGUGAGUAAUGCCUAGGAAUCUGCCUGGUAGUGGGGGAUAACGUCCGGAAACGGGCGCUAAUACCGCAUACGUCCUGAGGGAGAAAGUGGGGGAUCUUCGGACCUCACGCUCUCAGAUGAGCCUAGUUCGGAUUAGCUAGUUGGUGGGGUAAAGGCCUACCAAGGCGACGAUCCGUAACUGGUCUGAGAGGAUGAUCAGUCACACUGGAACUGAGACACGGUCCAGACUACUACGGGAGGCAGCAGUGGGGAAUAUUGGACAAUGGGCGAAAGCCUGAUCCAGCCAUGCCGCGUGUGUGAAGAAGGUCUUCGGAUUGUAAAGCACUUUAAGUUGGGAGGAAGGGCAGUAAGUUAAUACCUUGCUGUUUUGACGUUACCAACAGAAUAAGCACCGGCUAACUUCGUG
rnacentral:rRNA from 1 species